rnacentral:rRNA from 1 species
UACGAAGGGGGCUAGCGUUGCUCGGAAUCACUGGGCGUAAAGGGUGCGUAGGCGGGUCUUUUAAGUCAGGGUGAAUCCUGGAGCUCAACUCCAGAACUGCCUUUGAUACUGAAGAUCUUGAGUUCGGGAGAGGUGAGUGGAACUGCGAGUGUAGAGGUGAAAUUCGUAGAUAUUCGCAAGAACACCAGUGGCGAAGGCGGACUCACUGGCCCGAUACUGACGCUGAGGCACGAAAGCGUGGGAG